rnacentral:lncRNA from 1 species
GAUUUUAAAGCAUGCCAUUCUAACAUUGUAAAGAUAAUAAUAUAAAAAUAAAGUGAAAAAAUAAAAAAGGCAGAAAGGUUGAAAAUAACAACUAAUAAUAAGUACAUUGUUAAAAAUAAGUUGUGCUAACUUGUGUUUAUACUUGAAGUAGGGCCAUGUUUAGUAAUUCUUGCAUAAUAGUUCAUAUUAUGUAUAUAACAUGAAUUAGUGAAUUAUUGAUAGAAAAAGACCAAAGCCAGGCAGUGGAGUCAACUAAUAAUGUAUUUAAUUUUGACACUUUCUGCGAUGUUAAAGAAAUCUAAAAUGGUUAUAUGGCCCUUUUCUGCUGUUUUAUAUACAAAAUUAGAAUGACUCCAUAGCUGUCUCUAAUGCCUGGCUUUGGUCUUUAAAUUAUCAAUAAUUCACUAAUAUAUGUUGUAAACACAAUGUGAACUAUUGUGCAAGGAUGGUCUAUUUCAAAUAUGAGCACAAGCUAUCACCAUUAUUUUUGACAGUGUACUUACUAUUGGACAUUGUUUACAACCUUUUGGCUUUAUUUUUUCAGUUUAUUUUUAUAUUAUUAUUUUUACAAUUCCAGAAUGGCAUGUUUUACAAUCAAUUCUCCAUACUGUCCACCUGCACAAGCCACAAUACACUAAUUCAAAUACA